rnacentral:rRNA from 1 species
GACGAACGCUGGCGGCGUGCUUAACACAUGCAAGUCGAGCGGUAAGGCCCUUUCGGGGGUACACGAGCGGCGAACGGGUGAGUAACACGUGGGUGACCUGCCCUCAGCUCUGGGAUAAGCCUGGGAAACCGGGUCUAAUACCGGAUAUGACUCCAUGACGCAUGUUGUGGGGUGGAAAGUCUUGUGCGGCUGAGGAUGGGCCCGCGGCCUAUCAGCUUGUUGGUGGGGUGANGGCCUACCAAGGCGACGACGGGUAGCCGGCCUGAGAGGGCGACCGGCCACACUGGGACUGAGACACGGCCCAGACUCCUACGGGAGGCAGCAGUGGGGAAUCUUGCGCAAUGGGCGAAAGCCUGACGCAGCGACGCCGCGUGAGGGAUGACGGCC